rnacentral:lncRNA from 1 species
ACAGCCCCCAAAGCUCACGAGUGCUUGUGCAGAACUCAUGAAGCUCUUUCUCCUCGCUGCUUCACAGGAGGGUUUUUAUUUUCCCCCAGCUUGGAAUUCAGUUAGCAGCCGUUUUCCUGCAGAAAGUGCAGGAAUUGGCCAGCGUUGGAGGGGUGCAGCCCUUCCCCGCUCCCCCAAGGUGCUGGGGGAAAUCCCACAGUUCAUUUUUCCUGGCUGCAGAAUGCCUUUUCCUUCGCAUUCUUCAGCUCGCAGGUACUUCAUCACCACGUUUCCUAUUCACAUGUCUGGUCAUUUCACUCGUGUCAGGGCUCCUUAACUAGGAAAUAUCAAGAUGUUUUCACCCUGGAAAGCUGGGAAGCGUGUAAUUAGCCACCCAGGUAAUAAAUUACCUGUGCUGGCGACAGCCCACUGGGGAAACCUUUAUUCUCCAUCUCAUCCUAUUAUGCUGAGCCAAUUUAGCACAUCUGUAGUUGUUUUAAAAUAGUCAUUUCAAUGGACUCCGAGAAAAGGAGGCUUAUUAACAACUUAGCUGCCAGGAGGAAAAUGGGAGGGACAGCAGCUGCCAUGGAGGGAGAAGUUUGGUUCUGGCUGGAGGACAAAUCCUGCUGUGCCUCCAGCUCCUUUCUUGGACCACAGCGUGGACAAAGCUCUGGGAUCCCCCUCCAGCCUUCCUGGAGCCCCCAGAGCAGAGGGGCUGGGGAACAUUUGGCCAUGGAUGUGGGAGAGGAGUGGGGGAUUUGGGCUCCUUCAGUCACCCCAGUGCUGUCCCACCCCUCCCCUGCUCUCCCCAGCACAGGACAGAGCUGACAUUCAGCUGGGGAGGUUCCCAGAUGUCCCCAGCCGGCAGAGCUGUCCCCUGUGCUUGUUCAUCCAUGAUCCCCAGCUGCAGGGCCCCAGGGCUCUGCUCCUUUGGGAAAUCCAUCAGAGCCUGGCUGGGAGGGGCUCUGCAGGUGAGAGCUGGGCUGGGCAGCUGAGCCCGAGCGCAGAGCACCACAGGUUGUUCCAGCUCCUCUCUCAUAUUUUCACCCUUUGCAAAUGGAAAAGAGCAGCAGAACGUUCCAAAGCCCUGACCCUGAGUGACUCCCUGCAAAAUUCUUCUGAAACCGCUCGCCAGACCUAUCUCCAGUCAGCCAGUUCCUGGAAAAGCAGGUCACACCCCAACACCUACACCUGCUGUUCCAAAGGAUUUUUUCAUGCCUCUGGAGGCCAGCAGUGGCUCUGCCACAAGGAAUGUCCCAAGGAAUGUCCCAUUCUAUCCCAGGGAACUCGCAGGGUGUGGAGCCAGGGGUGUGAAGGCGCUGAUUCCCAGGGUGCCUGUUCCAAGGCUGGUGCUCCCCCUCUCCCCUCUGGCCAGAUGGCUCCUGGCAGCAGCCUCUCGUCACAUCCCCAGCUCUGGAAUCGCUCCGUGCAUCCUCUGCCUUCUGCUUUUGUCAAACGGAUCAUUGACCCCACUUUCCCUCAUUGUCUUUGA